rnacentral:rRNA from 1 species
UUUUUCAAAAACAUCGCUCUUUGUUAUAUUUUUAAUACAUAGAGAGUCGUACCUGCCCAGUGAAUUAUUUUAACGGCCGCAGUACCCUGACUGUGCUAAGGUAGCAUAAUCAUUUGCCUUUUAAUUGGAGGCUGGAAUGAACGGUUUGACGAGAAUUUAACUGUCUCUUUUAUAUUAACUGGAAAUUACCUUUUAGGUGAAGAUUCCUAAAUUUAAUUAAAAGACGAAAAGACCCUGUCGAGCUUUAGACUUAAAAUUUAAACUUUAUCGCUGUGGAAGAACUACUGUUUCUAUAAGAGUUUUUGUUGGGGCGACAGAAGAACAAAAUUAGCUUCUUUUAUUUUUCAAAACCUAUAGGUUUUAAAGAUCUAUUAUUAAUAAAUUUAGAUAAGUUACCGCAGGGAUAACAGCGUUAUUUUUCUAGAAAGUUCAAAUUGAAGGAAAAGAUUGCGACCUCGAUGUUGGAUUAGAAUACCAAGCAGGUGAAGAAGCUUGUUAAUGGGGGUCUGUUCGACCUGUAAUUUUCUACAUGAUCUGAGU